AUUGAACGCUGGCGGCAUGCCUUACACAUGCAAGUCGAACGGCAGCGGGCCUUCGGGUGCCGGCGAGUGGCGAACGGGUGAGUAAUGCAUCGGAACGUGCCAUUGAGUGGGGGAUAACGUAGCGAAAGUUGCGCUAAUACCGCAUAUUCUGUGAGCAGGAAAGCAGGGGACCGCAAGGCCUUGCGCUCUUUGAGCGGCCGAUGUCAGAUUAGCUAGUUGGUGAGGUAAAGGCUUACCAAGGCGACGAUCUGUAGCGGGUCUGAGAGGAUGAUCCGCCACACUGGAACUGAGACACGGUCCAGACUCCUACGGGAGGCAGCAGUGGGGAAUUUUGGACAAUGGGGGGCAACCCUGAUCCAGCCAUGCCGCGUGAGUGAAGAAGGCCUCGGUGUAAG
rnacentral:rRNA from 1 species